GACGAACGCUGGCGGCGUGCUUAACACAUGCAAGUCGAACGGAAAGGCUCCAUCUUGCGGGAAUACUCGAGUAGCGAACGGGUGAGUAACACGUGGGUAAUCUGCCCUGCACUCUGGGAUAAGGCUGGGAAACUGGGACUAAUACUGGAUAUGACUGUUCUCCUUAGGGGGUUGGGUGGAAAGUUUUUCGGUGUAGGAUGAGCCCGCGGCCUAUCAGCUUGUUGGUGGGGUGAUGGCCUACCAAGGCGACGACGGGCAGCCGGCCGGGGGGGGUGCCCGGCCACAUUGGGACUGGGAUAGGGCCCGACCUCCUACGGGAGGAAGCGGUGGGGAAUAUUGCACAAUGGGCGGAGGCCUGAUGCAGCGACGCCGCGUGGGGAAUGACGGCCUUCGGGUUGUAAACCUUUUUCGGAAGGGACGAGGCGUAAGUGACGGUACCUGCAGAAGAAGCACCGGCUAACUACGUG
rnacentral:rRNA from 1 species